CAGGGACAGAUCCCUGGGGCCCGGGCAAGGGACACAAGUAAAGACGAGGAGGGGCUAGAAAACAUGGAACCCAAGUUAAAAGAGGCCUUCUUAAAGAUGCGUAAACUAGAUAGAAUCUUGGCCAAAAAGAUCAAGAAAGAAAAGGAAGUUAAGAGAGAUAGACUGCUGUUAGAACGCAGGAUUAAAGAGGAAAUAGAAGGCAUGAAAACAGAUGGAAAGGAAGAGAAUAGAGAAGAAAAGAACAACACCGACAAAUAUCUGGCAUUGACAUUACCUGCAAGACACAAUGAAGGAGUAAGGAUUAGUGAGAGUCCAGGACCAGAUGUGUUCACUACUGAAAUAAAUGAAGCCGAUUAUCCAGGACUUCGUAAAGACCAGCAAAAAAAGAAUACCACCCAGAGAUCAGAUGGACAAACCAGUCAGAAUAGUCAGAGUCAGCAAGACACAAACUCUGAGUUUGGUAGUGAGAUGUCAGCUGAUUCUAGGAAAAGAAAACGUCGAAGGAAAAAUUUCAUUAAGCGGAACAAAGAAUUAGCAAAAGAUGCUGGUAGUGAGAUAGCAAUGACAGAUGAAGAGAAAGUUAGGGUGGAAGGCUUGUUAAAGGAUCUGGAUGAGCUUCCAGAUGUAUUAGAAGAUGAGGAUGGUGCUGAAAGUUGUUACCAGGUGGCUCUUCGCCCUGGGGAGGGAUUCUGUCCGGACCCAGAUGAAAUGAGGGUGCUGGAUGGAAUUGACAGUCGACUGAAGGAACUGUUGCCUCCUGAGGAAUUUGAGGAAGUGUCAGCUCGUCCUUCACAAAUGCACCAUAAAAAACUUUUCACACCAGUGGGGUUUAAGAACUCCAGUUUUGAACACUUUGGGGAGCGAGCUUUACUGGAGAACAAGGAACAAAGGGAGAUAAAAUCUCGUCUUCAGAGAAUAGAGGAUGAACUCGCCAAACUCCACAACCCCGAGGAGAUCGAGAUAGAGACUCCGGAUACUUUAUCAGAGGAUCAGCUGAAUGAUCUGUUAGAUCAUUGUGCCAGAUCUCUGUCUCGUUCAACUAUCAUGGGAAUGGAUUCAAGAGUAUCUCAACGUGAUAUGGAAUCACGAGAUACACAAAGAUCAGCUGCUUCAUCUCAAGCAUCCAUGCCCGAGUCUGAUGCAGAUUCCAUGUAUCUGCCAUCAGAGGACAUAACUCCAAGAAGUCACAGGUCUGCACGAGAAAUUCUGAUGGAGAAUCCCCCCAAGCUGUCUGAAGAGGAACUCCAGAAACUGCUGGCCGACGCCCACUUCCCCCUCCGGAGCCGACUGUCCACCCUGAGGGAGGAGGAGGAGAAGGAGGAGGAGGAAGAAAGUGAUAUCGAGUCAAGACCUACUUCUAUCUCAGCUGAAACAUGGAAGUUGAUUUCCCAAGAAAAAACUGAAAUCAGUGAUCAAAAUGAAAGGGAUAGAAAUGUUCAUAAUAGUGAGGUGUUUACUAGUGUUACAGACACAGAGCGAAGUAACUCAAGGAACUCUCAAAUACCUGUGUUACCAGAAAUAAACCGAUCUGGGAGUCUAAUAGCUCAAUGGAAUAAUGAGCGACCAUCAAGUAGCAGCAGUCGCAACAGUUCUGUGCUGACCAUAAAAAACAGUUUCAAUGCUGCCAAUGUCAGCGACAGCAUAGAGAUCAUGUCUAUAGGCAGUGAGAGUGUGGCAUCCACACCCCGCCCACCCAGUGGGGACAAGCCCAGUAACCUGACCCAGAGGGCCAGGAUGGACAAAAAUAUGAUCCAGUCAACCUGAAGGUUUUAUUCUGUACUGUAAUAUUAGCAACUUGGAACAUGUUGACUCCGUCCUCUUUAUGGUUGUAUUUAUUGAACACUUUAUUUUGAUGAAAUGUUUUUUUCAUUAAAAUACAAAUAAUUC
rnacentral:misc_RNA from 1 species